CAGUCGCCACGGGAAUACGGAGGGUGCAAGCGUUAAUCGGAAUUACUGGGCGUAAAGCGUGCGUAGGCGGUGAGUUAAGUCUGCUGUGAAAUCCCCGGGCUCAACCUGGGAAUGGCAGUGGAUACUGGCUCGCUAGAGUGUGUCAGAGGAUGGUGGAAUUCCCGGUGUAGCGGUGAAAUGCGUAGAGAUCGGGAGGAACAUCAGUGGCGAAGGCGGCCAUCUGGGACAACACUGACGCUGAGGCACGAAAGCGUGGGGAGCAAACAGGAUUAGAUACCCGCGUAGUCCCUGUCUCUUAUAC
rnacentral:rRNA from 1 species